GGGCUGUGGUGCGUGUCGUUCGAGUUCGCAUAGAGGGGCUGGGCGGGUCAGGCAGGGGAACCUGUCUUGAGCCCCGCGGGGUCCACGCCGGACCAGGGCGGCCUUGGGCCUGGGCGCCCCCUAGACCCCCACCCCCAACACCGUGCUUGGAGCCGCCGCGAGGCCCUGGGCUUUUCGAUCUUGAGGAUGGGGCGGUUCCGAAGUCCCUGGGGGCGAAGGCCCGAGCGCGGCCCGGCGGGCGCGUGGUUUUUGUCCCGCGAAACGUACACGGCGGGUGUUCUGCGCCGCCUCCUUCGUCACCUGCCGCAGUGAAUAACCCUAUACCUUCCAAUUUGAAAUCAGAAGCAAAAAAGGCUGCCAAAAUAUUAAGAGAAUUCACAGAAAUAACUUCCAGAAAUGGACCUGAUAAGAUCAUUCCUGCUCACGUAAUUGCGAAGGCUAAAGGCCUUGCAAUUCUGUCUGUGAUCAAAGCCGGGUUCCUGGUGACUGCCAGAGGAGGCAGCGGGAUUGUAGUGGCGCGCCUUCCAGAUGGAAAAUGGUCUGCACCCUCAGCCAUUGGGAUAGCUGGCCUUGGUGGAGGAUUUGAAAUAGGAAUUGAGGUAUCAGACUUGGUGAUAAUUCUGAAUUAUGACCGUGCUGUAGAAGCUUUUGCAAAAGGCGGAAAUCUAACCCUCGGAGGGAACUUGACUGUGGCGGUUGGGCCCUUGGGAAGGAACUUGGAAGGAAACGUGGCCCUGAGAAGCUCCGCUGCUGUCUUCACAUACUGCAAGUCGAGGGGACUCUUUGCAGGCGUGUCUUUAGAAGGGAGCUGUUUGAUUGAAAGGAAAGAAACUAAUAGAAAAUUUUAUUGUCAAGAUAUCCGAGCUUAUGACAUUUUAUUUGGAGAUACACCGCGGCCUGCUCAAGCCGAAGAUCUUUAUGAAAUUCUUGAUUCCUUUACUGAAAAGUAUGAAAAUGAAGGACAACGAAUCAAUGCAAGAAAAGCAGCAAGGGAGCAGAGGAAGUCUUCUGCUAAAGAAUUACCUCCAAAGCCAUUGUCAAGAUCACAGCAGUCAUCUGCACCAGUCCAGCUGAACUCUGGCUCUCAAAGUAACAGAAAUGAAUAUAAGCUCUAUCCUGGACUUUCCAGCUAUCAUGAGAGAGUUGGCAAUUUGAAUCAACCCAUAGAAGUGACAGCGCUGUAUUCAUUUGAAGGACAGCAGCCUGGGGAUUUGAAUUUUCAAGCUGGAGACAGAAUCACAGUUAUAUCAAAAACAGAUUCACAUUUUGAUUGGUGGGAAGGAAAACUUCGAGGUCAAACUGGCAUUUUUCCAGCCAACUAUGUAACCAUGAAUUAAAGCGUAUACUAUUUUCUUCUUUGAGAAUUACAAAAAAAUUAUUUCUACACUGACAGGAUUUACUAGUUAAGCAAUGUUUAAUAUAAAUUUUAAAAAACUUCUGUUCUACAAAAUUUCCAUUCCGUAUGUAAAAGAUUUUGUUUUUCUAUAUAAAAAGAGCUGACUGACAUAUCUUUAAAUACUUUGUACUAACUUUAUCACACUUGCUGUGUCAUAGAAUAUCAUACAAUUUAUAUGCUCAUAGUUCUUUUGUGAACACUUCAAACAUCGCUAAGCAUUUGAUCUGGCCAUGUAUAUGGUAGCUGUGUUUUAAUUUGAGAAUCUUGAGGGUAGAGCCACGAAUUUCAAUUCUUACAUUUCCAUUUGCAAAGUGACUAGAGAAAAAGAAAUCAGCUUAAAUGAGGUAUUAAGUAAUGUUUAGAGUUGUAGGUAUUAACUAGAAUAUAAAUCCUUAGAAAUUGUCUUUAUACCUUCAAAAAUUAUACUAUGCAUUUAUCAUAGAAAUAUGAUUACAAAGAAGUCUGACUACCAUGUCUUUAAACAUAUGGCAUCUCUCAACUUUUCUCCUUAUGGGGCUACAUUUGUUCAUUUCCAGCAGUAGCAUAAACUUAUGGUGACAUGGUAGACUUGUAUCUAAAUAAAAUUUUUAAAUGUUUACUAA
rnacentral:sRNA from 1 species